rnacentral:misc_RNA from 1 species
UCAUCACUGAGGUGGAGAAGAGCAUGCGUGAGGCUCCGGUGCCCGUCAGUGGGCAGAGCGCACAUCGCCCACAGUCCCCGAGAAGUUGGGGGGAGGGGUCGGCAAUUGAACCGGUGCC